rnacentral:rRNA from 1 species
UACGUAGGGGGCAAGCGUUGUCCGGAUUUAUUGGGCGUAAAGAGCGUGUAGGCGGCUUUACAGGUCCGUUGUGAAAACUCGAGGCUCAACCUCGAGACGCCGGUGGAAACCGUAAGGCUAGAGUCCGGAAGAGGAGAGUGGAAUUCCUGGUGUAGCGGUGAAAUGCGCAGAUAUCAGGAAGAACACCCGUGGCGAAGGCGGCCCACUGGGCCGGUACUGACGCUGAGGCGCGAAGGCGUGGGGAGCGAACGGG